UGGGGAAUUUUGGACAAUGGGCGAAAGCCUGAUCCAGCAAUGCCGCGUGUGUGAAGAAGGCCUUCGGGUUGUAAAGCACUUUUGUCCGGAAAGAAAUCCUUGGCUCUAAUACAGUCGGGGGAUGACGGUACCGGAAGAAUAAGCACCGGCUAACUACGUGCCAGCAGCCGCGGUAAUACGUAGGGUGCAAGCGUUAAUCGGAAUUACUGGGCGUAAAGCGUGCGCAGGCGUUUGCUAAGACCGAUGUGAAAUCCCCGGGCUCAACCUGGGAACUGCAUUGGUGACUGGCAGGCUAGAGUAUGGCAGAGGGGGGUAGAAUUCCACGUGUAGCAGUGAAAUGCGUAGAGAUGUGGAGGAAUACCGAUGGCGAAGGCAGCCCCCUGGGCCAAUACUGACGCUCAUGCACGAAAAGCGUGGGGAGCAAAACAGGAUUAGAUACCCUGGUAGUCCACGCCCUAAACGAUGUCAACUAGUUGUUGGGGAUUCAUUUCCUUAGUAACGUAGCUAACGCGUGAAGUUGACCGCCUGGGGAGUACGGUCGCAAGAUUAAAACUCAAAGGAAUUGACGGGGUCAUAGCUGUUUCCU
rnacentral:rRNA from 1 species